CACAACGACUUCCUCUACUUCCAACACCUAAAGAUAAUGGCACUGGUUCCACAGCAAGUGUGGGAAUGAUUUUACACAAUAGUAUCUGGGAAAAUAUUUACUUCUGGCCCACUGGCAAAGGAUUGGCCUUUUUAUAUUGUUCUGAAGUUAACUUCAGAGGAGGUCCUUCCCUGAAAAGUCACAGCUGAAGGAACUCACUGCAGACGGUGACUGUUCCUAUGAAGGAUCCUUCUGCCUUUUCAUAACCUGUGUGCUGUUGUUUAAUUCUCAUGGAGAAUGACAAGUUCCACUAAAAUAUGCACAUGGCAUCUCCAAGAAACAGAAGCAAGAAUUAAAGUGAAGGGGUGGUAGGCAAAAAAGGCCAAGAAUGACCAUGAUUAGACCAAGGAACUUCCACUUCCAAGCCGUAGCUGGCUGCAUCCUCUUCAUGACUCUUGGGAAAAUAUUUUCUGUGGAGUCUAAAAGAAACAAAAAUACACCUGAAAAGAAAAAAAGGAUAAAGGAUUGUCUCCUAAUAACUUUCCACGCCAAGCAAAACUACAUGCAAGGAUUUUUAAGCCAAACUACAGAUCUUC
rnacentral:lncRNA from 1 species